rnacentral:lncRNA from 1 species
ACCACAUGCAUGAAAAUUUAAUUUAUAGGCUGUGUAUUCUAUUCAACUGGUCUAUUUGUUUUUGUGCUAGUACCACACUACUUUGAUUAUCAUAGAUUUGUAAUAUGUUUUGAAAUCAGGAAAUGUAAGUCUUCCAACUUUGUUCUUUUUCAAAAUUGUUUUGACUAUUCGGAGUCCUUUGAUAUACCAAAUGAAUUUCAGGAUACAUUUUUCUAUUUCUCCAAAAGAUCCCAUAAGGAUUUUGAUAAGGAUUGCAUUGACUCUGUAGGUCACUUCGGACAUUAUGAACAAUGUAACAAUAUUAAGUUAUCUAAUCCAUGAACACAGGAUAUCUUUCAUUUAUUAGUGUCUGCUUUAAUUUCAUUCAGCAACGUUUUAUGGUUUGCAGUGUACAAGCUUCUCAUCUCCUUGGUUAGGUUUAUUCCUAAGCUUUUUAUUGUUUUGAGUGAAAUUGUAAAUGGAUUUGUUUUCUUAAUUUCCUUUUUGGAUUGUUCAUUAUUCAUGUAUAGAAAUGCAACUGAUUUCUGUGUGUUGGUUUUGUACCUUGCAACUUUGCGUUUCUUUAAAUGUGGUCCAUGAACCACCUGAAAUAAUUUUUAGCACAUUCUCCAUUCUAGCUAACUGUACUUUGGGAAGAAAAAGGGGUUUAUGUGGCAAGAAUCUGCAUUAUUAACAAGUUUUCGUAAAUUUGUUUAAGUUCUUUGUAGAUUCUGGAUAUUAGCCCUUUGUCAGAUGAGUAGAUUAUAAAACUUUUCUCCCAUUCCGAGUUUUUUCCAAUUCUGUGAAAAAAGUCAUUGGUAGCUUGAUGGGGAUGGCAUUAAAUCUAUAAAUUACCUUGGGCAGUAUGGCCAUUUUCACAAUAUUGAUUCUUCCUAUCCCUGAGCAUGGAAUGUUCUUCCAUUUGUUUGCAUCCUCUUUUAUUUCCUUGAGCAGUGGUUUGUAGUUCUCCUUGAAGAGGUCCUUCACAUUCCUUGUAAGUUGGAUUCCUGGGUAUUUUAUUCUUUGAAGCAAUUGUGAAUGG